CGAAGUUGGCAAAUUUGUAUACAUUUCUAUUACGUGCGGAGAUUGGUAACUAAUUUAGUUACCAAUUCACGCACGUAAUACAAAAGUAUACAAAUUUUCCAACUUUGAAGGGCUAUAUUUUCCGUAUUUUACAACAUUUCGCAACCAAACUUUGUAAUAUUACUAAUUUCAAGACGCUCUUUCCAGCUGUGGUGAUAGAUUUCGUUGUUCUUACUUAGAUUUAAAUUUAGUCUAAAGCGCAAGUC